UACGUAGGGUGCAAGCGUUGUCCGGAAUUAUUGGGCGUAAAGAGCUUGUAGGCGGUUCGGUAAGUCUGCUGUGAAAGCCGGGGGCUCAACCCUCGGAUGCCGGUGGAUACUGUCGGGCUUGAGGUACGGAAGAGGCGAGUGGAAUUCCUGGUGUAGCGGUGAAAUGCGCAGAUAGUCAGGAGGAACACCAAUGCGAAGGCAGCUCGCUGGGACGUCACUGACGCUGAGACGCGAAAGCGUGGGGAGCAAACAGG
rnacentral:rRNA from 1 species